rnacentral:rRNA from 1 species
AUGAAUUGCUUUGUAUGGAACUGUCGGGGGGCGGGGAACUCCCGUACAAUUCGAGAUCUACAGUCUCUCUGUCGAGCCCAUUCCCCGAAGCUGGUGUUCUUAUGUGAAACAAGGCAACAAAAACACAAGAUGGCUAGGAUUCGUAAUCGUUUAGGCCUCAAAGGGUUUGCUGGAAUAAGUAGUCAAGGAAAGAGUGGUGGUUUAGCUUUGUUCUGGGAUGAA